rnacentral:rRNA from 1 species
UCCUACGGGGGGCAGCAGUAGGGAAUCUUCCACAAUGGGCGAAAGCCUGAUGCAGCGACGCCGCGUGAGUGAAGAAGUAUUUCGGUAUGUAAAGCUCUAUCAGCAGGGAAGAAAUAGCGACCUUUGGGUCGCCAGACGGUACCUGACUAAGAAGCCCCGGCUAACUACGUGCCAGCAGCCGCGGUAAUACGUAGGGGGCAAGCGUUAUCCGGAUUUACUGGGUGUAAAGGGAGCGUAGACGGCAGCACAAGUCUGAAGUGAAAUGCCGGGGCUUAACCCCGGAACUGCUUUGGAAACUGUGCAGC